UACGAAGGGGGCUAGCGUUGCUCGGAAUUACUGGGCGUAGAGCGCACGUAGGCGGAUUGUUAAGUCGGGGGUGAAAUCCUGGAGCUCAACUCCAGAACUGCCUUCGAUACUGGCGAUCUCGAGUUCGGGAGAGGUGAGUGGAACUGCGAGUGUAGAGGUGAAAUGCGUAGAUAUCAGGAGGAACACCGAUGGCGAAGGCAGGUCUCUGGGCUGACACUGACGCUCAUGCACGAAAGCGUGGGGAGCAAACAGG
rnacentral:rRNA from 1 species